rnacentral:lncRNA from 1 species
GUCACACUUCUUAAAUAAACUAAAAUGGUUGAAUUAGUGAAAUUAUUGGGGGGCGGAGGUAGCUAGAGUCUAUUGUAUAUAUAUACGAGAGAGAACAGUUGUAAAGACAUCAGUUCGUAAGACACAAGCAAACAUGAAAGUUACGCUCGCUCUCCUUGCUCUUUGUGCCGCUUUGGCACUGGCUUAUGCCGGCUAUUAUGGAGGCUAUGGUGGCUAUCCCUAUUAUGGAGGAUAUGGUCACGGUUACGGUUAUGGCCACAGGCCAUACUAUGGCGGAUACCACGGCGGUUAUGCUUACAGGCCCUACUACGGAGGAUACGGCCACGGAUAUGGUGGAUACAGACCAUACUAUGGCGGAUACCACGG